rnacentral:rRNA from 1 species
UACGUAGGGCGCGAGCGUUGUCCGGAAUCAUUGGGCGUAAAGCGCUCGUAGGCGGCCUGUCGCGUCUGCUGUGAAAUCCCGCGGCUCAACCGCGGGCCGGCAUUCGAUACGGGCAGGCUAGAGUUCGGUAGGGGAGACUGGAAUUCCUGGUGUAGCGGUGAAAUGCGCAGAUAUCAGGAGGAACACCGAUGGCGAAGGCAGGUCUCUGGGCCGAUACUGACGCUGAGGAGCGAAAGCGUGGGGAGCGAACAGG